UACGUAGGGUGCAAGCGUUGUCCGGAAUUAUUGGGCGUAAAGAGCUCGUAGGCGGUUUGUUACGUCGGCUGUGAAAACCUGGGGCUCAACCCCGGGCCUGCAGCCGAUACGGGCAAACUAGAAUUCGGUAGGGGAGACUGGAAUUCCUGGUGUAGCGGUGAAAUGCGCAGAUAUCAGGAGGAACACCCGUGGCGAAGGCGGGUCUCUGGGCCGAUAUUGACGCUGAGAAGCGAAAGCGUGGGGAGCGAACAGG
rnacentral:rRNA from 1 species